GUGGGGAAUCUUGCGCAAUGGGCGAAUGCCUGACGCAGCGACGCCGCGUGUGGGAUGAAGGUCCUCGGAUCGUAAACCACUGUCGGGAGGGACGAAUGCCCGGGGCUAACUACCGCCGGGAGUGACGGUACCUCCAAAGGAAGCACCGGCUAACUCUGUGCCAGCAGCCGCGGUAAUACAGAGGGUGCGAGCGUUGUCCGGAAUCACUGGGCGUAAAGGGCGCGUAGGCGGCUGGGUAAGCCGCGUGUGAAAGCCCGGGGCUCAACCCCGGAACGGCACGCGGGACUGUCCGGCUCGAGCAUGGUAGAGGCGAGUGGAAUUCCUGGUGUAGCGGUGGAAUGCGUAGAGAUCAGGAAGAACACCGGUGGCGAAGGCGGCUCGCUGGGCCAUUGCUGACGCUGAGGCGCGAAAGCGUGGGGAGCAAACAGGAUUAGAAACCCGGGUAGUCC
rnacentral:rRNA from 1 species